rnacentral:rRNA from 1 species
UACGUAGGGGGCAAGCGUUGUCCGGAUUUACUGGGCGUAAAGAGCGCGUAGGCGGAAGCUUAAGUGUGGCCUGAAAGCCCCCGGCUCAACCGGGGAAGGUGGCUGCAAACUGGGCUUCUUGAGGGCGAUAGAGGAGAGCGGAAUUCCUGGUGUAGCGGUGGAAUGCGCAGAUAUCAGGAGGAACACCGAUGGCGAAGGCAGAUCUCUGGGCCGUAACUGACGCUGAGGAGCGAAAGCGUGGGGAGCGAACAGG